UUUAACUUCUAAAAGAACAAACAUAUAUUACUUUGAGAUUGAAACAAAGAGAAUGCAUACAGCACCCGUGUAAGUGAAGGAAGUGAAAUAACAAUGCUUACUCAACUGAUGUGCAUGGAACUAUAAUAAGAAACUCUAAUGUUGAUAUUCAGGUUUCCUUUCCUUUUGAUCCAAGAGAAAAUUUCCAGAAAGAGGAUAUUCCCCUGUUCCAGCAGACAAACAAAUUGAUAAAUGAUAUAAAUAUAUUACAUUUCACAUUGUCAACCAUCCCUUCAACGCUAGCAUUACAUUAUGCUGCUUGCUUCGACAGCUUACAGUAUCGUACAACAUUGAUUGGUUUUCUUUGCCUGCUUGUAGAACAUCUGCUUCAACAUCCAACAUAGGAUAUUGUGUUAGCAACUUUCAAUAUCAUGCAACUUUCAAUACUGAGCAUGGAACAAGCAUAGCUCAAUUCUAGACUACGAUGAGAAAUAAGAUUAAAAUAAAAUCAUCAUUAUCUUUGUUUGCGAGGACAAAAGGAAAUGUAUUUAAUCCAUUAAUAAGUUGCGCAUAUUUCCUUUUUGACCAGAUGCAUUUUACUUCCAUCUUUUCUUCCUCUAUUAAAGGAUAUGCAUAGGGGCUGUUUCUGUUCCUACUUAUUAUGGGAUAAUUUUGUAAUUGUGAGUUGGAGGAUAACUCUAUAAUAUGUGCUUACAAUAAGAAGGUGGCUCUCUGUAUGUAUCCACAUUGCCUAACCGCUAAAUCGCUUGUGUAAUGUUUUUCUCCUUUUCUGUGAUCAUUAAUUUGUGCUUUUGUGUGUUGCAUGGCCAAUGACAAAAUAUUCACAUGGCCUCAAUUACAUUGGCCAAAGGUGAAAAGAAGUGACAGAUGACAAUUUUGACAUGCACAAAUGUAAGGAAGACUAAAAUACAAAUAAAGAGUUGAUCACAUUUGCUAGGCAUAUAACGAACUAUACUAGCAAAAGAAUGAUGGCAGUGUAUAAAUUCUUGUGAAUGCACCUGUGAAGCAGCACUCAGAUCUGAACUCUUCUCAACUAGGCUGUCUAGUUUCUCACCUCGUGCGAGCACACUGUCAAUAGUUUUAUGCUGUAGCAAAAACAUUUUUUCAGACAAAAGGAUAUCUAUGUCAAAGGGAAAGAUCACAUAAGAAACCAAACGUUAACAAGGUUAAAGGACAGUGAUGGAAAGGCUGCAGUAUUUAGAUAUGAACAGUGAGAAGAAAACGAAAUUCCUUCAUCAUUGUAUCUCCAUGCCAUCCAUGAGUUUCACUACAGCAAUUAAUGUAAGACUUCAACACAACCACAAAACAAAGACAAGUCAAAAGGCUCUUUCAUUUUUCAGUUCUAGCAACUAACAUUUUUACUACAAGUCAAUCACGUCCUUUUAAUUAUCAGUUGUACAGCUAAAAUAGGGGGCACUAGUUUCCCAUGCUCCUAUUCAAGCACAAGCAGAACAUUUGAAUCAAUCAAUUUCCUUUGUACAAGGGGGAGAGACAGAAAGAAUACAAGUGAAAGAGAGAAUCUUUUGUGACCUGGUCACAACCAAAAAGAACAGAGGAAACGGAGAAGAAAUAUAAAAAAGGGAAGGAGGAAAGAGAGAGAGAAAGGGGAAGAGAAUUGAUGAAUCUAGAAUGCCUCGAAAUUACAACUCUCAUCACCAAAAUAUAAGCUAAGCAUUAAUAACUGAAUGUUAACAAAAUCCUCAUCUGGCUAACUCUAAUCCAAUCCUAACAUUACCCUCCCCAUGAAGAUCAUCCUUGCCCCCAAGAAUGAAAAGAAACAGAUCCUUAAUACUAUGCAGAUUGAUCAUUGCUGUCUUUUUUUUUUUUUUUUUUGCUAUGCACAUGCACAUCAUGUUCUCAAAUCUGCAAAGAUAGUCGACACAGAAUGUGGUGAAUGUUGCUUAGGGAGUGGCCCCAAAAUAUCCAAUUGUAAUAGCUGGGGUUAUGGCAAACUGAUGCUUAAACAAGUUCUGGUUUUUCUUUUACAAACCUGAGUUGUUUCAGAUUGUAACUGCCCUUCUAUAUUGACAAGGCAUACAAGUACAUGUUAUGGGCUUUGUCACUUGUCUCCCACAGAUUUAGUGGAUGUUCUUAAUCAUGUCAGCCAAUUCAAUAAGAAAUUUGCAUAUAGUUAUGUUUAAUGUUAAAA
rnacentral:misc_RNA from 1 species